ACCUUUCAAAUCAGGGUGCGGCGCGGCCCCCGAGGAGCGGAAACAAUCCUUGGGAGGUAUGCGGGGGCUUCGAGCCCCCCAUUUACGCACGCACGACUGCCAUCCUUACUUUACGAGCACCUUCUGUUCUCCCUCGGCGGGGCAACCUGCCAUUGGAACCGAAUAAACUCUUUUUGCAUCUAGCAUUACCUGUUCCGAAACAAACAAUCGUUA
rnacentral:misc_RNA from 1 species